rnacentral:rRNA from 2 species
GAGUUUGAUCCUGGCUCAGGAUGAACGCUAGCGGCAGGCUUAAUACAUGCAAGUCGAGGGGCAGCGGGGACUUCGGUCCGCCGGCGACCGGCAAACGGGUGCGGAACACGUACACAACCUUCCUUCGAGCGGGGGAUAGCCCAGAGAAAUUUGGAUUAAUACCCCAUGGUAAAAUGAAGAGGCAUCUUUUUAUUUUUAAAGAUUUAUCACUUGAAGACGGGUGUGCGUAUGAUUAGGUAGUUGGUGGGGUAAAGGCUCACCAAGCCAACGAUCAUUAACUGGUGUGAGAGCACGACCAGUCACACGGGCACUGAGACACGGGCCCGACUCCUACGGGAGGCAGCAGUAAGGAAUAUUGGUCAAUGGAGGGAACUCUGAACCAGCCAUGCCGCGUGGAGGAUGAAGGUCCUCUGGAUUGUAAACUUCUUUUAUAUGGGGCGAAAAAGGGUCUUUUUAGAUCAACUGACGGUACCAUAUGAAUAAGCACCGGCUAACUCCGUGCCAGCAGCCGCGGUAAUACGGAGGGUGCAAGCGUUAUCCGGAUUCACUGGGUUUAAAGGGAGCGUAGGUGGGUUGGUAAGUCAGAGGUGAAAUCUCCGAGCUUAACUCGGAAACUGCCUUUGAUACUAUCAGUCUUGAAUAUUGUUGAGGUUAGCGGAAUAUGUCAUGUAGCGGUGAAAUGCAUAGAUAUGACAUAGAACACCAAUUGCGAA